CACCGGCGGCCCGAGUGGUAAUCACUUUUAUUGGGUCUAAAGGGUCCGUAGCCGGUUUGAUCAGUUCUUCGGGAAAUCUGACAGCUCAACUGUUAGGCUUCCGGGGAAUACUGUCAGACUUGGGACCGGGAGAGGUAAGAGGUACUACAGGGGUAGGAGUGAAAUCUUGUAAUCCCUGUGGGACCACCAGUGGCGAAGGCGUCUUACCAGAACGGGUCCGACGGUGAGGGACGAAAGCUGGGGGCACGAACCGGAUUAGAUACUCGGGUAGUCCCAGCCGUAAACGAUGUUCGCUAGGUGUCAGGGACGGUGCGACCGUUUCUGGUGCCGCAGGGAAGCCGUGAAGCGAACCACCCGGGAAGUACGGCCGCAAGGCUGAAACUUAAAGGAAUUGGCGGGGGAGCACCACAAGGCGUGAAGCUUGCGGUUC
rnacentral:rRNA from 1 species